ACCGCUAACGCUAUUCACCUGUUUGCCAGUCGGAGUCUCUGAGGGACAGAAGCAGCUCAACAGCACAGCGAGUGGCACCAGUAUGUCCAGCAGAAAACAAGCCUCCACAUCAAAAUCUACUGGUCAGCUCAUGAUGCAGCAAACAUC